GAUGAACGCUGGCGGCGUGCCUAAUACAUGCAAGUCGAGCGAAUGGAUUAAGAGCUUGCUCUCAUGAAGUUAGCGGCGGACGGGUGAGUAACACGUGGGUAACCUGCCCAUAAGACUGGGAUAACUCCGGGAAACCGGGGCUAAUACCGGAUAACAUUUUGAACCGCAUGGUUCGAAAUUGAAAGGCAGCUUCGGCUGUCACUUAUGGAUGGACCCGCGUCGCAUUAGCUAGUUGGUGAGGUAACGGCUCACCAAGGCAACGAUGCGUAGCCGACCUGAGAGGGUGAUCGGCCACACUGGGACUGAGACACGGCCCAGACUCCUACGGGAGGCAGCAGUAGGGAAUCUUCCGCAAUGGACGAAAGUCUGACGGAGCAACGCCGCGUGAGUGAUGAAGGCUUUCGGGUCGUAAAACUCUGUUGUUAGGGAAGAACAAGUGCUAGUUGAAUAAGCUGGCACCUUGACGGUACCUAACCAGAAAGCCACAGCUAACUACGUGCCAGCCGCCGCUGUAA
rnacentral:rRNA from 1 species